GACGAACGCUGGCGGCGUGCUUAACACAUGCAAGUCGAACGGAAAGGCCCUGCUUUUGUGGGGUGCUCGAGUGGCGAACGGGUGAGUAACACGUGAGUAACCUGCCCUUGACUUUGGGAUAACUUCAGGAAACUGGUGCUAAUACCGGCUAGGAGCUCCUGCUGCAUGGUGGGGGUUGGAACGUUUCGGCGGUUGGGGCUGGACUCGCGGCUUAUCAGCUUGUUGGUGGGGUAGUGGCUUACCAAGGCUUUGACGGGUAGCCGGCCUGAGAGGGUGACCGGGCACAUGGGGACUAAGGGACGGCCCAGACUCCUACGGGAGGCAGCAGUGGGGAAUAUUGCACAAUGGGCGGAAGCCUGAUGCAGCAGCGCCGCGUGCGGGAUGACGGCCUUCGGGUUGUAAACCGCUUUCGCCUGUGACGAAGCGUGAGUGACGGUAAUGGGUAAAGAAGCACCGGCUAACUACGUG
rnacentral:rRNA from 1 species